rnacentral:lncRNA from 1 species
AUGGCGAGGGUUCCCUCUGUAGGGGCUCUAUUGCUGUUGAGAGGAUCAAGGCAGCAGUCAGGGCCUGAGGGUUGUCCAGAAGAAAGCACAAAGCAUACCGAGCGCUGGUCUGACAGCACUUAGGAGUGUGACAGAAACCUUCUGUCAUGGGACCAGAGAUUGGAGACCGUGGGAACACAUCCGAACCCACAUCUCCGUGACAAGGUGGUGCUGAUUUCCAGUGGUCCUCCCUGGUGGGGAAAUCACGUAGCUCUGACUCUGGAGCGUGUUGUUGUGUUUCUCUUUCAGUAUGAGCUUGUCUGUGGCCCUAGAGUUCCUCCCUUA